rnacentral:lncRNA from 1 species
CUACCUCGCUCGGCGGCCGAGCGUUUCUUUUUGACCGACGGCUAAACGUCCUGCGCAGAAAGCCCAUCAUCUUCCCCCGCGAGACAGCGCUUUAAUUAAUCAGGGAAAACGGCACCGAUACCGGACCGCUCAAGAAGAAGGCAUCCAGCUGUUUCCCAGGCUUUCCACGACGACGAAAGGCGGCGUCUACCGGACUCAGCCGUGCAAUGCAGAGGGAAGAAGUCGGCGACCUGUCACGAGCUCCGUUUCCUCGUGUCGUACGGGCGACAAAACAAGAGCACACCUGCCAGAAGCCACGGGAAGAUGAGAAGUCCAGGCUCAGCUGACUGAUGUCGCGUUAGUUGCUCUCU